rnacentral:rRNA from 1 species
AUUGAACGCUGGCGGCAUGCCUAACACAUGCAAGUCGAGCGAGCGGCGGACGGGUGAGUAAUGUCUGGGAAACUGCCUGAUGGAGGGGGAUAACUACUGGAAACGGUUGCUAAUACCGCAUACCAUCAGAUGUGCCCAGUUGGGAUUAGCUAGUAGGUGUGGUAACGGCUCACCUAGGCGACGAUCCUUAGCUGGUCUGCGAGGAUGACCAGCCGCACUGGAACUGAGACACGGUCCAGCCUACUACGGGAGGCAGCAGUGGGGAAUAUUGGACAAUGGGCGCAAGCCUGAUGCAGCCAUGCAGGGUGUGUGAAGAAGGCCUUCGGGUUGUAAAGCACUUUCAGCGGGGAGGCGUUACCCGCAGAAGAAGCACCGGCUAACUCCGUGCCAGCAGCCGCGUAAUUC